CUAAACUGGUAGCUGAUGAUAGCAGCCAUCAACAUACUAUGCUGAGUUAAGGAGUUCUGUGGUUUGGGCAUCCCACAGAUAAGAAGAAACCCUUGCUAACUGGAGGAAGGGAAACUUCUUAAUGUGUACGUGGUGUUUUGUAAGAGUGCCUUUGAAUCAUCAUGAUUACCAAAAGGCUGGGAAGACUCUGUCAUGGUGGACCAUUACCACGGGUCUGCUGAGAGACUUUGAAGGAUCGCCGAGUAACUGCAGCGAUAGACUUUCUUCACUGUAAACCCCUGGGGAAUGGAGUUUAAGUACCUAAACUACUGAGAUGUCAGCAAACUAAGUAAGCACGGUGACAGUCACUAUUUUACUAAACAUGGUAAACUUAAAAAAUAUAUAACCGAUGAGACAACAGACUUCUAAAUUUUAAGCUAAAAAAAAAAAUUUUUUUUUUCUUUUUCUGGG
rnacentral:lncRNA from 1 species